rnacentral:rRNA from 1 species
UACGUAGGGGGCAAGCGUUGUCCGGAAUCAUUGGGCGUAAAGAGCGUGUAGGCGGUCCGGCAAGUCGGCUGUGAAAGUCCAGGGCUCAACCCUGGGAUGCCGGUCGAUACAGCCGGACUAGAGUUCGGAAGAGGCGAGUGGAAUUCCCGGUGUAGCGGUGAAAUGCGCAGAUAUCGGGAGGAACACCUAGGGCGAAGGCAGCUCGCUGGGACGUUACUGACGCUGAGACGCGAAAGCGUGGGGAGCAAACAGG